rnacentral:lncRNA from 1 species
ACCCAUUCUAGCAUUCACUCAGUCAAAAGAAAUGAAGCUGUGGCUGAAUCUGCUGCAUCACAGGAAGUUUUGGCAGUUUUGGAGGAACAAGAAAGGGAAGCGUCAGAACUUCAAAGGCUAGAGGUUGAAAGUAGACAACAUUUAGCACAAUUUGAAUGUGAGGACCUGGCUAGACAACAAGCAAUGCGGGACAAGCGAAGAAAGCUUGAACGCUUAGAAGAAGUGAAGAAGUUGAACGCUGCCAGAGCUCGAGUAAAGGUCUACGAUCAAGUGGAAAGAAAUUUUGAUGCGACUUAUUCGCUGCAUGGUGCUGAAUCAACCGGAAAACUUCAGGUUCCUACUUUCAUAAGUCCUCCUUUUAUUCCCCAGUCUCUGCCAGCAACAGCCCAAAUGCUCCAAGCCUCAAAGCCUCCAUUCAUUUCUCAAACCUUACCAGUUGCAAGUCAAGUGCAUAAUGCUCAGUCUCUGCAACGGGCAUCUCAAACUUCAGCCUCAAUGCUUAUGCCUCAAUUGCAAAAUAGCUCUGAUUUGGUCAGUGCACUAGCAGAAGCUAUGAGUGGCAAUCGUCUUCCAGUGCCAGAGCCUGCAGUGUUUACUGGAGACCCUUUAAAAUUCAAAGAUUGGCGCCUAUCUUUCGAAACAUUAAUUGACAGGAAGAAUAUUCCGAAGAACGAAAAACUAUAUUACUUAAGAAAGUACUUAGGUGGUGCUGCAAAAAAAACUGUUGAAGGAUUCUUCUUACUAGGUACUGAAGCUGCAUACGACUCUGCCUGGAAGCUGUUGGAGAAACGCUAUGGAGACCCACUUAUAAUUGGAAAGUCCUUCAGAGACAAGCUGCAUGGAUGGCAAAAAAUAAGUUCUAAAGAUGGUUGUGAACUAAGAGAGUUUACUGAUUUCCUUAAGAGCUGUGAGGCCGCAAUGCCCCACCUGAAGACAUUGGAAGUUCUCAAUGACUGCAAUGAGAAUCAAAAGAUCCUGCAGAAGUUGCCAGAUUGGUUAGUAUCCAGAUGGAAUCGCAAAGUGAUGGAAGCCCGUGAAGCACAUGCUGGUUACCCACAAUUCACAGAGUUUUUAGACUUUCUAACAAAGGAAGCUGAUCUCGCUUGCGAUCCUAUAUCUUC